rnacentral:tRNA from 1 species
GCGCAGGUGGUGGAAUGGUAGACACGCAACGUUGAGGUCGUUGUGCCUUCGGGUGUGGGGGUUCAACUCCCCCUCUGCGCA